CAUUCAUUGCUUUACACAGUUUACAGCCAUGGUUUCUCACCUACUCAACACUAUCCGUAAUGUAGUUGGGGUCACAGGGAACGUUAUAUCACUCUUCCUCUUCUUGUCUCCUGUGCCAACUUUUGCUCAAAUUUGGAAGAAAAAUUCAGUGGAGCAGUUCUCGCCAGCCCCGUAUCUAGCAACCUUAAUAAACUGCAUGGUUUGGGUCAUUUACGGGCUGCCUAUGGUUCAC